CAAUUUUUGGAUUUAGUAGCAAAAAAUUGGCAUUCAUUAUGUAUUUUCAUUCUACAAAGCUAAAGUUAGUUGAGCUAAAUUAUGCUUGGAAUACCAGUUAUAGACCAGAGCUAUUUCCCAUAUAUGGAAUUGUAGUGAACUCGGACAUUCUUCCAAGCUUGUUAUCAUAAAAAAAACAACCACAUGCAAAUGGGUGGAAUGGCGAGUUGUCGACCUCCAAGCCAAACCCAAAGUCAUCUUCAAUCUUGGUGUUUCAGGAUCAGGUGAGUUUAACGGUUUCAUCUUUACCCACUAAAAGGCUUCUUUGCCGGCAUAGUUAUUCAAGGGGCUUCCAUUGGCUUACUAUUCCUUUGAUACGGGACACGGUGUUCAGGAAUCCCAUCUUCAUUGCGUUUAUCUUCAAACCAUUUCACCACUCUUUUGCGAGGCAGAUUCGUCACUUGCACAAUGCUGCUAAUCAUUGCAUUAGUAGGUCUCUUUGUUCUUUUAUAUACUCUUUCAAGGGUUUCAACGUGGACUUUCUUCAGUCUCUUCUGCGCAGACCAUCUGUGCCUCAAAACAUGAACGGGCACUCCUUUCUCACUCUUAGAUUUCACAUCAUCCACGCUCACUGAUUCUGCAGGAAUGAUUUCAAUCGGUUUGCUUUCUGGCAAUGAGGAUGUUGAUGCCGGUUCAUCAGGUAAAGCAGCACUCAUCAUUACAAGAUUUGGAGGGGGGUCACGGAGCAACUCAAGAACAAUGGCCCUAUCAAGACAAAGUUCAGCAGCAAGGCUUUUGAUACUAGUUUUACGGCGUCCAUUUUUUAAAGCACGAGCCAGCCUUCGAAGCUGCCAAUUCUUAAGCUUUACUGGUCUUUCCUCCUCCACUUCAUCAUCAUCUUCUUCUUCGAUAGCAUUAACACCUUCAACAUCAUCUCCAGCGGAGCUAAGUAUUUCAACAUCGUCAUCAUCAGCAAUUCCUAAUGCCUCCUCCAAUGCACGUUGAAGUUUAUCAAAAUCUGAUUCACUUAUAUCAUCACCAUCAUCAUCAUCAAUGGAUGACCCAUCUUUUUUAAGGUCUUCUUCCAGCAUGC
rnacentral:misc_RNA from 1 species